UGGCAGAGUGGUCGAUCGCGCCGCACUCGAAAUGCGGAGUACGUGCAAGCGUACCGGGGGUUCGAAUCCCUCCCUCUCCGCCA
rnacentral:tRNA from 1 species